rnacentral:rRNA from 1 species
UGGGGAAUAUUGCACAAUGGGCGCAAGCCUGAUGCAGCCAUGCCGCGUGUAUGAAGAAGGCCUUCGGGUUGUAAAGUACUUUCAGCGGGGAGGAAGGGAGUAAAGUUAAUACCUUUGCUCAUUGACGUUACCCGCAGAAGAAGCACCGGCUACUCCGUGCCAGCAGCCGCGGUAAUACGGAGGGUGCAAGCGUUAAUCGGAAUUACUGGGCGUAAAGCGCACGCAGGCGGUUUGUUAAGUCAGAUGUGAAAUCCCCGGGCUCAACCUGGGAACUGCAUCUGAUACUGGCAAGCUUGAGUCUCGUAGAGGGGGGUAGAAUUCCAGGUGUAGCGGUGAAAUGCGUAGAGAUCUGGAGGAAUACCGGUGGCGAAGGCGGCCCCCUGGACAAAGACUGACGCUCAGGUGCGAAAGCGUGGGGAGCAAACAGG